rnacentral:rRNA from 1 species
CUUAAGUGGGGGAUAACAUUUGGAAACAGAUGCUAAUACCGCAUAGAUCCAAGAACCUCUUGGUUCUUGGCUGAAAGAUGGCGUAAGCUAUCGCUUUUGGAUGGACCCGCGGCGUAUUAGCUAGUUGGUGAGGUAAUGGCUCACCAAGGCGAUGAUACGUAGCCGAACUGAGAGGUUGAUCGGCCACAUUGGGACUGAGACACGGCCCAAACUCCUACGGGAGGCAGCAGUAGGGAAUCUUCCACAAUGGACGCAAGUCUGAUGGAGCAACGCCGCGUGAGUGAAGAAGGCUUUCGGGUCGUAAAACUCUGUUGUUGGAGAAGAAUGGUCGGCAGAGUAACUGUUGUCGGCGUGACGGUAUCCAACCAGAAAGCCACGGCUAACUACGUGCCAGCAGCCGCGGUAAUACGUAGGUGGCAAGCGUUAUCCGGAUUUAUUGGGCGUAAAGCGAGCGCAGGCGGUUUUUUAAGUCUGAUGUGAAAGCCCUCGGCUUAACCGAGGAAGCGCAUCGGAAACUGGGAAACUUGAGUGCAGAAGAGGACAGUGGAACUCCAUGUGUAGCGGUGAAAUGCGUAGAUAUAUGGAAGAACACCAGUGGCGAAGGCGGCUGUCUGGUCUGUAACUGACGCUGAGGCUCGAAAGCAUGGGUAGCGAACAGGAUUAGAUACCCUGGUAGUCCAUGCCGUAAACGAUGAAUGCU